rnacentral:tRNA from 1 species
GGAGGCGUGAGGGUGCCUGGUGGCCCUCUUGGUCUUCAAAACCACUGGUCGACGCCCAGCGCCGACGGCGGGUUCGAUUCCCGUACGCCUCCGCCA